UUGUAUGGACUUCUAGUUUUUCAAGUUUGAAGUUUUAAUGUCACGUGCACAUAGUUUACAACUGUUGCCGGCUAUAACAUUGACUUAUUUUGAUAAAUGGCAGAUGAAGACAGACUGCCCAAGGCAGUCUAACUAAAAGGUUACAGUAACUGGAUCGAGGGUUACAUUAACGAUGUACAAGGUAGAGUUCUCUCCUGAAAGUCCAUUCAUCAUGGAAACUAAGUUGAACUGGAAAGCGGGCCAGGGACAGUGCAACCAUGCCAUCGGUUUACUGUACACCGUGGCGCAUUACAUUAAAAUGGGCUACCCGUCUUUUCCACCAACAGAGAGCAAAUCGUCCUUGCCUCAAACAUGGCACGUUCCCACACAUAUGUCAGGUCUGCAGUCAAAACCUCUUAAUACAGUCCAAAUAUUGAACAUUAAGCCACCAAAGAAAGACAUUGCACCUGCCAACAAGAUCCGGAGGACUUGUGAGUGGAUUGUGCCAAACCUCUAUUGUCCAGUCCCUACACCAUUGCCCAGUAAAGAGUUUGCAAGAAACGUCCUGCAAAACCUUGCAGCAAUUCGAAGCAACUGCCAGAUGGAAACCUUGCUGGCCUCAAACUCAGAGCAAUAGUAUGUGUCUUCUAAGUAUGGUGAGCUGCCCUUUGGAUCCGGUCUGUUUUGCUGGAUGCAAGUACCUGACCAAUAGAGAAGAUGGAACCAAUUGUAUUCAUCACAUGCUUUGUAACAACAGGUGUAGACAAUGCAGAGAGAAAGAAAAUAAAUAAAUAAUAGACAAGUAAUAACACAUAGUAAUAAAAGUAAUAAUAAAUACACAAUAAUUAGUUAUAACUUGGCUAUAUACAUGGGAUACCAGUACUGAGUCAAUGUGCAGGGGAACGUGUUAAUUGAGGUAGAUACUGUCUAUAACUAGGAAUAAAGUGACUAAGCAACAGUAAAAAAGUUAGUGCAGAAAGGGUCAAUGCAGAUAGUCCAGGCAGCUUUUUGGUAAACCAAAUGGCCUGUUAAUCCGUCUGGCUCUGCGGCCUUGUGAAUGUUAACCUGUUUAAUGGUCUUACUCACAUAGGCUACAGAGAGCGUGAUCGCACAGUUGUCCAGAACACCUGGUGCUCUCAUGCAUGGUUUAGUGUUGCUUGCAUCGAAGCGAGCUUAGAAGGCAUCUAGCUCAUCUGGGCAGAUCGUUGUUGGGUUUUCCAUUGUAAUCUGUGAUUGUUUGCAAGCCCUGCCACAUCCAACAAGAGUCAGAGCCAGUAUAGUAGGAUUUGAUCUUAGUCCUGUAUUGAGGCUUUGCCUGGUUGAUGGCUCAUCAGAGGUUGUAGCGGGAUUUCUUAUAAAUGUCGGGAUUUUGUGUCCUGCUUCUUGAAAGCGACAGCUCUAGCCUUUAGCUCAGUGCAGAUGUUUCCUGUAAUCCAUGGCUUCUGGUUGGGAUAUGUAUGUACGGUCACUGUGGGGACAUUGUUGUUGAUGCACUUAUUAAUGAAGCCAGUGUCUGAUGUGGUAAACUCCUUUUAAAAAAAAGGUAGGGGAGUGGAUCAGAAAACCAGUCAUCAACUGGAGUGACCACCAAUUGCCUCAUGCAGUGCAACACAUCUCCUUUGCAUAGAGUUGAUCAGGCUGUUGAUUGUGGUCUGUGGAAUGUUGUCCCACUGCUCGUCAAUGACUAUGUGAAGUUGCUGGAUAUUAGCGGGAACUGGAUCAUGCUGUUGUACAUGUAGAUCCAGAGCAUCUCGUACAUGCUCAAUGGGUGACAUAUAUGGUGAGAGUGCAGGCAUUGAAGAACGUGGGACAUUUUCAGUUUCUAGGAAUUGUGUACAGAUCCUUGCUACAUGGGGCCAUGCAUUAUCAUACUGAAACUUGAGGUGAUGGCGGCGGAGGAAUGGCACGAGAAUAGGCCUCAGGAUCUCGUCAUGGUAUCUAUGUGCAUUCAAAUUGCCAUCAAUAAAAUGCAAUUGUGUUCAUUGUCCAAAGCUUAUGCCUGCCUAUACCAUAACCCCACAACCACCACGGGCACUCUGUUCAUGAUGUUGACAUCAGCAAACAUCUCGCCCGGUACAGUUAAUACCGUGAUUCAUCCAUGAAGAGCACACUUCUCCAGCGUGCCAGUGGCCAUCGAAGGUGACAAUUUGCCCACUGAAGUCGCUUACGACGCCGAAUUGCAGUCAGGUCAAGACCCCAGUGAGGACAACAAGCACACAGAAGACCUAAGAUGGUUUCUGAUGGGUUCUUGUGCAGAAAUUCUUUGUUUGUGCAAAUCCAAAGUUUCAUCAGCUGUCUGGGUGGCUGGUCUCAGAUGAUCCUGCAGUUGAAGAAGCCAGAUUUGGAGGUCCUGGGCUGGCGUGGUUACACAUGAUGUGCGGUUGGGACAUACUGCCAAAUUCUCUCAAACAAGUAGAGAAAUUAACAUUCAGUUAUCUGGCAACAGCUCUGGUGGAUAUUCCUGCAGUCAGCAUGACAAUUGUACAUUACCUCAAAACUUCAUCUGUGGCAUUGUGUUGUAUGACAAAACUGCACAUUUCAGAGUGGCCUUUAAUUGUCCCCAACUGUCACGACUCCCGCCGAAGUUGGCUCCUCUCCUUGUUCGGGCGGCGCUCGGCGGUCAACGUCACCGGUUUUCGAGCCAUCGCCGCUCCACCUUCCAUUUUCCAUUUGUUUUAUCUUGUUUUCCAGCACACCUGGUUUACAGCCCCUCAUCAUGUGUAUAUUUUCCUCUGUUCCCCCAUAUCUGUGUGUUUAAUUGUUCGUUACGUUUAUUGUGUGACGCGUCAGGCUGUUUUUUUCCAGAUAUUGUUUUGAACCCGUGGUAUUGUAUUGUUGUACAUUAUUUUGUGUGACCAGUGCGCUAUUCGCUUUUGCUUUUGGCUGGAGUGCUGUGACGCUGUUGCGUCCGACUGAUUUGCUUCUGCCAAUUAAAGUGUGCCUGUUCAUUCA